AGUGAACGCUGGCGGUAGGCCUAACACAUGCAAGUCGAACGGCAGCACAGUAAGAGCUUGCUCUUACGGGUGGCGAGUGGCGGACGGGUGAGGAAUACAACGGACUCUACUUUUUCGUGUGGGUUAACGUAGGGAAACUUACGCUCAUACCGCAUACGACCUACGGGUGAAGGCAGGGGAUCGUCGGACCUUGCGCGAUUGAAUGAGCCGAUGUCGGAUUAGCUAGUUGGCGGGGUAAUGGCCCACCAAGGCGACGAUCCGUAGCUGGUGUGAGAGGAUGGUCAGCCACACUGGAGCGUAGACACGGUCCAGACUACUACGGGAGGCAGCAGUGGGGAAUAUGAGACAAUGGGCGCGAGCCUGAUCCAGCCAGACCGCGUGUGUGAAGAAGGCCUUCGGGUUGUAAAGCCCUUUUGUUGGGAAAGAAAAGCAGCAGGUUAAUACCACGCUGUUCUGACGGUACUCAAAGAAUAAGCACCGGCUAACUUCGUG
rnacentral:rRNA from 1 species